AGACAGACCCUCGGACUGCAUCUCCAAAGACUGAACCUGGACCCUGGGGGGUCCUGCUGCCUCCUGGUAUUUCAAGGACGAUGACCAUCACGAGGGGAAAGGCGGGCCUGGCCACCGUCCUGUCACUGACACACUUGCUCCUGACAUACAGCUCCUAAAGCCUUGGAAUCUGUGGAGUGACAAACAUCUUUUGUGUGCUAAUGAGAUGACUGGAGGCUGGGGACCCCUGGACAGCCUCAGGAUGGAGCAGGUCACCAGAGGAACCAGCCAUGUGCAUAGAGGGUUGGAACUUGUGGUCCCAUCCCCAACCUCUAGGGAGGGGAGAAGGCUGAAGGUCAAGUUGAUCACCAGUGGACAGUGAUUUAACAAAUCAUGCCUACAUGAUAGCCUCCAUAAAAACCCAAAAGGACAGACUUCAGAGAGCUUCUGGUUGGCCGGAAAAGAGGCAUAAACUCGGAGAACCCAAGACCCCGGCCUGGCGUGCAGCCCCAGCAGCCAGACCAGCCUUGGGCAACAGCGUGCGACGUUCAGCUGUCUGCGUCUCCAGUGCUCCCAUUCCAUCGCAUCUGAAUGAGGGAUUUGGGAGGUAAAACAGGCAAAUAAUGAAAUAUACAAAUCUUCAUUGUGCAAUUUUGAUCAGUUGCUUCUCCUAUGCAACCCUCACCCCAAUAGAGACACAGCCUCUCGUCGGAACGCUCCUGCACACCCUUCUCGCAACCCCCACCACCUGCCCCCCACUCCCGACCAGAGCAGCCACCGUCCUGGUGUCUCCCAUCAGAGGUAAGUGUGGUCUCCCGACCAGAGCAACCACCGUCCUGGUGUCUCCCAUCAGAGGUAAGUGUGGUCUCCCAACCAGAGCAACCACCGUCCUGGUGUCUCCCAUCAGAGGUAAGUGUGGUCUCCCGACCAGAGCAACCACCGUCCUGGUGUCUCCCAUCAGAGGUAAGUGUGGUCUCCUGACCAGAGCAACCACCGUCCUGGUGUCUCCCAUCAGAGGUGAGUGGGGUCUGUUUUUGAAAGUUACUGACACGAAACCAUACAGAAUGUACUUUUUGUGUCUGAGAUUCACUCACCUCCUUGUGCAGAACCUUGAAGUCCUCGUGAAGAAAUGUGGCCCCGUUAGUGUCCUGCACCUUUUCUCCCCUCACUGAUUGUUAGAAGCCAGGUGCUGUGCUAUGCCUGCUAGGGCCAGUAUUUGACAAAUUCCCUGCUUCGCUAAAGAGGAGGGUUCGUGUCUGGAAGUCACGGGCCCGGUGACAGGCCCACUGUCUGUCCUGGAGGGCCAGACCCAUCGUGCCAGUGAGUGCGGGCCUUGCCCACCGUUGUGUGUGCGGCCCUAGACACACUUGCAGAACUGGCCCCAAUAGGGAGUUUAGAGAGAGGAUUGCACAGGCGAGUGGAUGAAUGAGUGACAUUUCAGAAGCUGAGGUUUGUAGCUGCUGCCUGCAAUCUGUUCUGAAGUCCAGCAGCAGCAAAGGGGUGAGGAGGGGGUCAGGCUCACCUGAGACAGGAAGGUGGGUUCCCCCAGGCAGAGGCUUGGCAGAGGGAAUCAUUGUUGGGACAUCUCUAAAAAUAAGUGAAAGUAAGUUCCGAGUUCUCUCACGCAGUCUAGAAACACAGAUUCUUACUGCACAGAUUUUUCUUUAAAGUGAAGCAGGAAUUUCAAUGCUCUGAACUGACACCAGCAAACCAAGGCAGUUCUGGCUCAUCCAAGGGUUGGGGUUCUUAUUUCAAACUCGAGAGACCUGGACUAAGAUGCAUCAUCACUAACCAGGCUCCAACAAGGCAGAAACGCCGCUUUAUCAAAACCACCGCAGGCUGGAGAGAAAUGAGAGCUGCCUUGCCAAGGCUGGGACCGCCAGCAGAGGCACACUCAGCUUCCAGGUGGGGCCUGCCAGCUGGGGGCUGGCCCUGAAGAUCACAGACUCCCAGACCGAGGGGGCGGGAAGGUCGUCUCAUCUAGUGGGGGCCCCUGUCCAGCCUUUUCUCCUGCUCUGUAGAACCUGUGGGGUCAUUUCAGGAAACAAAAUAUACGAAGCUAUCCAGCCUCAAAGCCAUAAGUAACUAAGUAACUGAAAAAUUAGACCCAAGCUUCCAGAACAACGGUACAGAACAUCCUCCCACUCCCUUGGGUUGGGAGCUCCUAAAGGCGUUUCUUAUUCCUCUCUGUUCUUCUGUCACGACCAGGGCUGAGCGUGCAUUCGAGCUUCUCCUGCAUCAUGACCAGGAUGCUCCGGGACACCUUGUCCACGUCUGUGUCCACCAGUCCUGCUCAGAAUCUCCCCAGGGGCUUUUCCACGAUGCCCAUCCAGGCGUCACCCUCACUCUAGGCCAGGAGGAGAAGGCAUGCCCUGAGGAUUCAGCCUCUUCUUCUUCAUCCCUCCCAGCACCCAGUGUGUUGGGUGCACACAGUGGUUUCCAGUUUUUGGCUUUCCACUUCUCCUGGAUCAACACCUUCAAGGGGAAUGGCUGCAUCAUAUGAUAGGUGGAAACUUUCAAACUGUCUUCCAAAAUCGUGCCAUGUGCUGGCUUUUCUGGUUGCUCCACAUCCUCACUAAUACCAGCUACGUUAUGGUUCCAAACCAGAGUUUCCCUAGGAAAUAAACACGGAGGGGCUGAAAGGACCUGGGGCCAUCGGGGGUGGAUGGCCAUAUCCAGGGGCCUUGAUGCCAGUGCCGACUGUUCCCUGCACGCUUCCACGUCCACGCCAACAUUGCAAGGCUAUGUCACGGACUGGAACAGCUACAGUGAUGACACACCUGAGGUGAACACAACUCCAGCAGCAUCCUGGCCUCUCAUGGGGCAAGUGCAUGUGGAAUCUGGAAACUUCACAGCUGAGCCUGCAAAGGUGCUCAUGGCAUGCAGAAGUGUUUCUGGAUCCAGUGGUAGGAAGUCAUUUCAAGCGGCUUGUGAACAUUCACAGAAGCAGCUCAGGAUCAUCCUGCUGCUUCUGAGAGCAGGUGUCGGGCCCCAGGCUGGAGGCCACGUGCCAGGCUGGCAGGAUUUGUCCACUGUGAAGCUCGACACCCCCGCAGGCCCUGUGCUGCCCGCCCGGAUCCCCCUGCCUCAGGAUGCCCUCCACACCCUCCGAAUUCCCAGCCGCUGCUCUGGGGCCUGCACAGAGGGCUUGGGCCCAGCACCUGGAAGCUCCAAAGAGGCAAACGGGUUCAUGUCCAGGUUUUGUCAGAUCGCUUCCGAGGCUGCCCUCUUCGCCGUGGCUGCUGAGUGCAGAGCUGGGCAUCUGAGUGGACAGAGUGGUGCUCCGCUUCCUUGCAUCUCCUGGGCCAUGCGUGGUGACCUGUGCCCACUGCAUCGCUCCUGUGUGCCCUGUGCAUGUGACCGUGUCUUUCCCGUGUAUUCAAUGCUGCUUCAUGUCUUCCAGUUCUGCUUUGUGGUUUGUGAGUGACCAGUGCAUCCAGUUCCUGCUGCAGCAGCUGCAAUGUGCACUGUCCUGCAGGAAGCCCUCGGGGUAGGGCCUGGGGGCUGUGGGAAGCUCAGCAACAAGGUGUGAGGUGUGCCCCGCGGGGCCCUUCUCUAACCCACAGCACCUGCCGGCGUCACUCAUCCUUUCAAGAGUGUUAUGGGAACGGAGUGCGGAAUGCGGCCUUUGAGAUGGAGUUUUCUCCCAGAGUCUGUUUCUCUCCAUUGCUGAGCACGUUGUGUGGUGUGGAGGCACCACGAUGCAUCGGACACGCACCUGUUGACAGAUGCUGGGGCUGUUCCCAGGUUUUCGCUGUUCCAAAUAAAGCUGCUAUGAUCGUU